rnacentral:rRNA from 1 species
CUACGGGGGGCACCAGUGAGGAAUUUUGCGCAAUGGGGGGAACCCUGACGCAGCAACGCCGUGUGAGUGAAGAAGGCCUUUGGGUCGUAAAGCUCUGUCAACUGGGAAGAAGUUACUAUGCUUAAAUAGAGUGUAGUAUUGACGGUACCAGUGGAGGAAGCGUCGGCUAACUCCGUGCCAGCAGCCGCGGUAACACGGGGGACGCAAGCGUUAUUCGGAAUUAUUGGGCGUAAAGGGCGCGUAGGCGGUCUUGUCGGUCAGGUGUGAAAGCCCGGGGCUCAACCCCGGACGUGCACUUGAAACAGCAAGACUUGAGUACGGGAGAGGAAAGCGGAAUUCCUGGUGUAGAGGUGAAAUUCGUAGAUAUCAGGAGGAACACCGAUGGCGAAGGCAGCUUUCUGGACCGAAACUGACGCUGAGGCGCGAAGGCGUGGGUAGCGAACGGGAUUAGAUACCCCUGUAGUC